rnacentral:tRNA from 1 species
UAGCCUAGUGGUUAAGGCUAUGGAUCGCCAAUCCGGAGACGACGAGUUCGAUUCCCGU